rnacentral:rRNA from 1 species
CAAAAAAGCUUCUAAGCUUCAGGUAACCAGGAACCGUACCCCAAACCGACACAGGUGGUUGGGUAGAGAAUACCAAGGCGCUUGAGAGAACUCGGGUGAAGGAACUAGGCAAAAUGGCACCGUAACUUCGGGAGAAGGUGCGCCGGUGAGGGUGAAGCAUUUACUGCGUAAGCCCACGCCGGUCGAAGAUACCAGGCCGCUGCGACUGUUUAUUAAAAACACAGCACUCUGCAAACACGAAAGUGGACGUAUAGGGUGUGACGCCUCCCCGGUGCCGGAAGGUUAAUUGAUGGGGUUAGCUAACGCGAAGCUCUUGAUCGAAGCCCCGGUAAACGGCGGCCGUAACGAUAACGGUCCUAAGGUAGCGAAAUUCCUUGUCGGGUAAGUUCCGACCUGCACGAAUGGCGUAACGAUGGCGGCGCUGUCUCCACCCGAGACUCAGUGAAAUUGAAAUCGCUGUGAAGAUGCAGUGUAUCCGCGGCUAGACGGAAAGACCCCGUGAACCUUUACUAUAGCUUUGCACUGGACUUUGAAUUUGCUUGUGUAGGAUAGGUGGGAGGCUUUGAAGCGUGGACGCCAGUCUGCGUGGAGCCAACCUUGAAAUACCACCCUGGCAACUUUGAGGUUCUAACUCAGGUCCGUUAUCCGGAUCGAGGACAGUGUAUGGUGGUAGUUUGACUGGGGCGGUCUCCUCCUAAAGAGUAACGGAGGAGUACGAAGGUGCGCUCAGACCGGUCGGAAAUCGGUCGUAGAGUAUAAAGGCAAAAGCGCGCUUGACUGCGAGACAGACACGUCGAGCAGGUACGAAAGUAGGUCUUAGUGAUCCGGUGGUUCUGUAUGGAAGGGCCAUCGCUCAACGGAUAAAAGGUACUCCGGGGAUAACAGGCUGAUACCGCCCAAGAGUUCAUAUCGACGGCGGUGUUUGGCACCUCGAUGUCGGCUCAUCACAUCCUGGGGCUGAAGCCGGUCCCAAGGGUAUGGCUGUUCGCCAUUUAAAGUGGUACGCGAGCUGGGUUUAGAACGUCGUGAGACAGUUCGGUCCCUAUCUGCCGUGGACGUUUGAGAUUUGAGAGGGGCUGCUCCUAGUACGAGAGGACCGGAGUGGACGAACCUCUGGUGUUCCGGUUGUCACGCCAGUGGCAUUGCCGGGUAGCUAUGUUCGGAAUAGAUAACCGCUGAAAGCAUCUAAGCGGGAAACUAGCCUCAAGAUGAGAUCUCACUGGAACCUUGAGUUCCCUGAAGGGCCGUCGAAGACUACGACGUUGAUAGGUGGGGUGUGUAAGCGCUGUGAGGCGUUGAGCUAACCCAUACUAAUUGCCCGUGAGGCUUGACU